CUCUGGUUUUUACUUCUUGAUCUUUAACUUGAUCUCGCAUGGCGAUGGACACUCUCUACGACUACCAAAUAUGGCAACCUGAAGAACACGAAGAUGACAUUAAUGUUACAAUUUCCAAUUCUCACUUGCUUCCAUGUGACUGUUUCCUUUUCCACCUUCACUUUCGCCAUGUUCUCCAAUCAAAUCAUCCUCAAGAAUUACAGAGACUCUUAAAUUCGUCUCUAUCUUCGUUCUUGAUACCUUGUGAUGCAUUUUUCGCCAGUGGCUUCAGUAUCCUGAUCGCGGUUUUCUCUGACACCGGCGUCGCUCAAGACUUCUUGGACGCGGCGGUACCGGACGUUCUGUCCGUCGCGGCCGAUAUAGCAUGCAAUCCUCUUAAUGCUGGCCGUCGGGUACUUCCGUUGGCGGUGUCCGUUUUAGCCGUUUCGCCGUACAAUGAACGCGAGGAAAUUGGGCGAGUUUUGCGGGAAUCGUCGCCGCAAGCGUUUAAAACGUCGCCGGCUAGUGAGUCGGCAAUCGAAGGGUUGAAGACGGUGGAGAUUGAUGUCGGCGGAGAGUUGUUGAUUGGAGAAUGCAGAAUAUGUUUGGAUGAACUAAUGAACGGAAUGGAAGUUACGCGAUUGCCGUGCGCUCAUUUUUACCACAGAGACUGUAUCGUCAAAUGGCUGGAGACGAGUCAUUUGUGCCCGUUGUGUCGCUACGCAAUGCCACUGAGCUGAUCGGUUUCAAAAUUUUCCGGGAUCAGUGGUCGUACAUGAUAGAAUUGAAUUUACAACAGGAAAUGCAGGGAGAUGAUGAACCAAGCUAGCUUUUGUACACUUUUCAACUUAGCUGAUAUCGAGGAGCAGGGAAAUAAGGUGGACUGGUUCUUGAAACACCAUGACAUUGAGACAUUGAGAAUCUAACAGAUAACUGGAUGGGACAUAGAAGUUCGUUUUGGAGAUUGGCAAUUAUCUUAGGAUGACUGAUGAAACGGCUUCAAAUCGUCGACUGUGUUUACGAAGAUAGCUGAAUCAGAGAAUAUUUUGAUGGAGCAAAACAACCAGAAUGGCAAAUUAUCUUUGGCCAAGGGAAAUUUGUAGGAUAUUCACACAGUAAAAUGGAGAUGGCUGGAAGAGAGACAGAGAAAGCAGGAAGCUGGAUUAUCACUGGUUGCAUACUGGCUCCAUCAGAAAUGUCUAUGCUAAUACAUUGGAACCCGAGGUUAGUUCAUAACUUUUUUUGUCAUAAAUGAAGAACAAUUCUUUAUAGAUGAGGUUGAAUUUCCUUUACUUUUUGAUAUGCAGUCAGGGUAGUUGAUCUAAUAGUUGAAAUAGAUAUUUGGAAUUCUGUUUGGUUGGAGAAAAUUUUAGGAUUAGAAACAUAUAUGGCCAAAAUGAACUGAACGUCCUUUCCUUCUCAGAACUGGCAGAAGACAAUCAUGUGAGAA